GAGGGGUGUUUGAACACUAAGAUCUGCUAAUUCUUAUCCCUGAAGUUAAACUCCUCAGACCCCUCA
rnacentral:tRNA from 1 species